AUUGAACGCUGGCGGCAGGCCUAACACAUGCAAGUCGAGCGGAGCGGCGGACGGGUGAGUAAUGCCUAGGAAUCUGCCUGGUAGUCGGGGAUAACGUCGGGAAACGGCCGCUAAUACCGCAUACUAUCAGAUCAGCCUCGGUCGGAUUAGCUAGUUGGUGGGUUAAUGGCCUACCAAGGCGACGAUCCGUAACUGGUCUGAGCGGAUGAUCAGUCACACGGGAACGGAGACACGGUCCAGACUCCUACGGGAGGCAGCAGUGGGGAAUAUUGGACAAUGGGCGAAAGCCUGAUCCAGCCAGGCCGCGUGGGGGAAGAAGGUCUUCGGAUGGUAAAGCACUUUAAGUUGGGAGGCGUUACCAACAGAAUAAGCACCGGCUAACUUCGUGCCAGCAGCCGCGGUAAUUC
rnacentral:rRNA from 1 species